CCGUGAAGAAAAUGGUUUAUUUUGAUUACAUCCCCACUUAUCUAAAAGGCUAAGCAAAUCAACCUCACAACAAAGACAAGUGCACAAUGGAAUGGAUGAUGAAUUGGAGGGUGGAGCAAGCUUCAUGGUUUACUUUUUGUUUUGUUUUUUACUUUUGAAGCAAAGGAUGUGCAAGACUAUAGAAUUUUAUUAUGUAUGCUUUCAAACUCAAGUUAGAACUAAGAACUUUUGAAGUGGACAGUGUCAUGUUUUGAAGUAGUUCGUCUUCAAAUGUAAAAAUACUCAUUGUUUAUCAUAUAUAUUGAAUAUUUUAGAUUUUUUU